rnacentral:rRNA from 1 species
GACGUAGGGUGCGAGCGUUGUCCGGAUUUAUUGGGCGUAAAGAGCGUGUAGGCGGUUCGGUAAGUCUGUCGUGAAAACCUGAGGCUCAACCUCGGGCGUGCGAUGGAUACUGCCGGGCUAGAGGAUGGUAGAGGCGAGUGGAAUUCCCGGUGUAGCGGUGAAAUGCGCAGAUAUCGGGAGGAACACCAGUAGCGAAGGCGGCUCGCUGGGCCAUUCCUGACGCUGAGACG